rnacentral:lncRNA from 1 species
AUUGACUAAGCAUAUUCAAACUACCACAGUGACCAAAAGAGACCUGGGCUCAGAUUUUUAUUCCUUUGGAUCUUAAGCAUCUUCCUAGGCCAUGGACAUUUGCCUGCAGCAACCCAUUUCUACUUUCCCAGUGUAGUUUGAAAUCGGUGCAGCAUCCAUUACCUUUAUGAGCAAAGGCAGCCGAUGAAUACUUACUCAUAAACCUUCUCCACUAUGAUAAUGUUGAGGUGCCACUUCUGGAGUCAGCACUAGUUCCCACAGCUUAAGACUCUGAAGCGUUUUCCUGGUGGACUACAACUCCAUCCAUAUUCCUUUCGCCACAGAAUCACAAGUUUUGGAUUCAAAGUUCGGCAGAGAGAGAAGCAGAUGAUUCUUCUGAUUUUUACUGACCCUGAGACCAAGAUAUAGACCUCUCAACACCUUCUCCAGCAUCAUGUCUGCCUGGAUGCUGCCAUGCUUCCCACCAUGAUUAUUAUGGACUAAACCUUUGAAACUAAGAAUCAAGGGUAUCUGUGUCUUUUUCCAAAGAUGACACACUUGGAGAAAUGGUGAGGCAAAAAGGGGUGGGAACAGAGAAAGGAGAGAGAGUGGUCCUUGAGACAGGACUCAGCCUGUUUUGACUUGUUUGUAUGUGCCAAACACUGUGUUAGAAAGGUUAUACUCACAAGCUCACUGAUGCAUUUGAAACAGAAAUAAAAUUUGUUCAUCAGGCCCC